GCUAUAUCCUUCAAAAUUUGGGUGGAUCAGUUCCACAAGUCAUUAAGACCUUAACCCAUUCAUGCCAGGAAGGUCUGAGGAGAUAAGGCUACCAGCAAUAAUGUUUGAAACACAGUCAUUUUCCUGUUCUUCUAAGGACAGUAAUGAGCCAUCCCAAGUAUGGUUAUGUGUUUAAGGAGGAGAAGAUACCACGGGUAACAAAACACGUCAGUCCUGAAUCUAUUGAAGAUACCUGGUUAUCACUAUCCACUAAGUUGGAUUUUAAGGAAGCUGAUGUAUCUUGUGAAGACAGCAAGACAUUAACCUUGAAGCAGGAAACAGAAGCUUUGCUAUUGGAAGUUACUGAGCUAAUUAAGCGGCUGGAGGCUGAUCGUGAGGAGGCAGAAAAAGCUUUGGAGUUGGAGAAACAGCGAAGGAAAAAGCUUGGCAUGAAAAUUGAUUGUAUGUCACUUUGGAGGCUUCAGCAGCUCCCUGCAGCCGUGCAAAAAGAAUAUGAAACGUGUGUUCAAGAUACCUUGGAGCUACAGUGGCAUUUUGAUUGUAAAAGCCAUCAGCUGCGACAGGUACAAAACCAAAUACUUAAGAUAGAAACAGUCAACAGAAAGAUUCAGGAGGAUAUAGACUUCAUGAAGAAACACAGCCCUCUGCUGGAAGAAAAGCUGAAUCUAGAGGGUGAAGCUGUGAAGGAUGUGUUACUGGCUUAUGAAAAGACAUCAAAAAUAUAUAGUGAUGUUCGUUGCGAACUCAUGGAAAUCCAAAGGACAAUUAAAAGAAUUGAUGAAGAAUCGGAAAAGAAGAUACAAUCUAUGUAUGAGAAAAUUGAAUAUGCUGAGAUGCUAUCGAGUCAAUACAAGAAUAAGUUAAAGCAUUCUGAAUUUAUUUGGACCGAAUACUGUAUGAAGUUAAAAGAAACAGAGGAGAAGAUUAUAAAGGAUGAAAAACACCUUGAGGAGUUAGUGGAGCAAAAAGCAGAAAUCCAGGAAGAUGCAAAAUGUUGGAACAGCAAAAUAGAAGAUUUGAAUAAUAAAAUAGCUGCCCAAGGAGAUGAGAGUAUAAAAAUAUCAGAUGCUUAUUCUGAAGUGAUUAAAGCUGUGGAAAAAUUAAAAUCCACCAAGGAAAGUGAUCUACAGAAUAUAAAGCAAAAGAUUCUCAAUAUUAAUGAAGCAUUGGACAGUUUGAAAUGUGAAAAUGAAGAACUUGAGAGAGAAAAUGAAGAGUUUUUACAAAAAUUCGUUAAUAGUUCAAGAAAAAAGAAGGCGUAUCAGUCAGAAGUCGAAACUGUCUGCAAAAGCAUGUGUAAGAUUGAACAGCAAAUAGAAAGACUAAAUGAAGAUCUCUGUAAUGCUGAAUUGUCCUACAGUGAAAAAAAAAAGGAAGUAUGAAGACUUAAAAAAAACCAAAACCGCAGAAGAAAUUUCUUACAAGAAUUCAGAGUGGAAUCUUAAAAAAGAAAUUCAAGAUCAAAAAGGAGUUUGGAAAGCGACUCAGCUCUUGAUUCAAACAGAAUGAUUCAGAGGGACCCAAUGUGCAGUGGAACUUACUGGACUUCAAGAACGGAAGGCAUCUUUCCAUGACUGAAAGUCUCUUCUGGUUUUCCACAGCUCUGUAGCCAGUAGUCAGUAGUUUCAUAUCAGUGACAUGUUAUAUUCAGACUCAGAGAAGAAAGGGAUAAUAUCAACACAAAGUGGCACUGAAAGUUCAUUCCAGCAAUUCAUUGUUUCUAUAUAGCUAAGAAGUCCAUUUCUCUUUCAAAGAGGAAUUUUCUUGCAAAUUCUCCAACUUCUAAAUCUAAAAUAGAUAGUAAUGAAAACUUUGCAUUUUUCUUGAGAACCUGCUUUUAGAGAUUCCACCUAAUAGAAUGAACUGUAAAGUCACAAAAAGUCCAAAAAACCCCCUCAGACUUCUAAAUUAUGCAUCCCAAAUGGCUAGUAUUCCUUUUUGUCAUUCUCUGAACGCAGAAGAUGCAGCACAGGGGAAUUUCUCCAUCAUGUGACUUGCUGAAAACUGGCAGCACGCUGGUUAGCCUUCUGGUUAUCAGAGCACUCUCUGUGCUUGAGGGGCAAAGGAGAAGAAGAGUUUGGGGUUGUUGGUGUUUUUUCAUUGCUUACUGCUUCUCAUUAGUGAAUAUUAAUGGUGACAAUAUUCAGAAACAAAUUUUCUUCCAGGCUAAUCUACCUUAUUCUAUUAAUGUUUCCAAUAAUCUGACAUAUCACGUGGCAUUUCAUCAGUCUAUCUUAAGACAGUCUGCUCUAGCCAUUUCCUGUUAUAUUUUGCAUUAUAUCAAAAUAUGUUCAAUAUCAAAUGUACUUAUCUAUUUGAAAUGAUCUUUCCUCUUUUUGUAAGAGUGCUGAUACCUGCCUGGCUUGAUAGAAAAACUGGGAAUAAAAAUUAAGCUGCUUUUACUUUUA